rnacentral:pre_miRNA from 1 species
GGCCCAAAUUUGGAGUAGAGUAGAUUGAAAGGAUCAUCUGACCUUACUAAGCUACUCUACCUUGAGUUUGUGCCC